rnacentral:rRNA from 1 species
CUCGUAUGGUCGCCAGAGAUGGCUUCCUUCCCGGCAAGGGGCGAGAACACAGGUGCUGCAUGGCUGUCGUCAGCUCGUGUCGUGAGAUGUUGGUUAAGUCCCGCAACGAGCGCAACCCUCGCCCUUAGUUGCCAUCAUUUAGUUGGGCACUCUAAGGGGACUGCCGGUGAUAAGCCGCGAGGAAGGUGGGGAUGACGUCAAGUCCUCAUGGCCCUUACGGGCUGGGCUACACACGUGCUACAAUGGCGGUGACAAUGGAUGCAAGGGAGCAAUCCUUAGCAAAUCUCAAAAAGCCGUCUCAGUUCGGAUUGGGGUCUGCAACUCGACCCCAUGAAGUUGGAAUCGCUAGUAAUCGCAGAUCAGCACGCUGCGGUGAAUACGUUCCCGGGCCUUGUACACACCGCCCGUCACACCAUGGGAGUUGGCUUUACCUGAAGACGGUGCGCUAACCGCAAGGAGGCAGCCGGCCACGGUAGGGUCAGCGACUGGGGUGAAGUCGUAACAAGGUAGGCGUAGUGCU